AAGAAACAUUUCAUUUUAAUACUACAAAACAACCAAACCUGUUCACGUCCUUUACAGUCCGUUUUCUUUUUAUAUUCAUUAUGCAGGAAAGCUGAAAUUACUACUAAUUAGCCGCUCGUAAAGGAUUAAACCUGACCAGACUGGAUUAUUUUCCAAAUUCGCCUUUCCGGGCUUCGCGGCCACCGUAGAAACACAAUCUAGGAAAUGGUCUAAACACACUGCUUUUGAUUUUUAUCAGGUGUUUUAGCAAGAACCUGUCAGCCGUUCCCUAUGGCUGGGACAGGUGAAUUGCUGGUUCUCUCUUCACAUUAACACACAGGAAGAGUGGACCCACCAUUGAUUUGAAGUCAAGCCCCUGUCAGGGAGCAGGAAUCUCUCUUCGCGUCCUUGGGCCAGUUGUGUUAUGAAGAAGGAUGAAGUUGCGACUGCACUGCGUGGUGGACUCCAUGGGCUGGUUCUGUCUCAGCACGGUGCUGUUCAUCUGGUUUUACAACACCAUCCUCAUCCCCAAGCUGGUGCUGCUGCCCCACUAUGCUGAAGGACAUAUACCCGGAGCGCUAGUUGCCUGUUACUACAUAGCAUCACUCUUGUGUGUGUCUGCAUUGUUAAGGGCUUCCACAGCAGACCCAGGACGACUCGAUCAAGACCCUAAAAUCCCCUUAGCAGAACGUGAACAAUGGGAGUUGUGCAAUAAAUGCAACCUUAUGAGGCCAAAGAGGUCACACCACUGCAGCCGCUGUGGACACUGUGUGCGUCGCAUGGACCACCAUUGUCCCUGGAUUAAUAACUGUGUUGGGGAAGAUAACCACUGGCUCUUUCUUCAGCUGUGUUUCUACACUCAGGUCCUGAGUCUCUACACUCUUGUGUUGGACUUCUGCCAGUACUACUACUUUCAGCCUCUAGUCUCAGUGGACAAAGAGUUAUUUAUGGUGCGUCAUGAGUUGGCGCUCUUGCGCGUGUCCUGCUUCAUGGGAUUGAUUAUGUUCGGAGGAAUGAGCAGUCUCUUCUACUCACAGAUCACAGGAAUCCUUUCUGACACAACCACUAUAGAGAAAAUGUCACACUCCUCAGAAGGGAUCAGUGCUCAUCGGUCGUGGCAGCAGUCGUUGGCCGAGGUGUUUGGCACACGCUGGAAGCUCCUGUGGUUCCUGCCGUUCCGAAGCAGACGGCCACUGUACCCGAAUUCCUCCUCCUACUUGCACGUGUAGCAAAGCAGAGGCUGGUGUCGAGGACGUGACCCUUCUACUUUACACUCCUCCUUCCUUCUCUUCUCUACUCCGUCGCUUCACUGUGACCUAACACUUCUGAGCUGAUAGUUCAAGGGCUCUUGUGAAGAUUGAUGGCAUCAUGAAUUCCAGGAUGUUUAGAGUUGGCCAUCAAAAGAGCUUUCAAAAACAUGAUGAUGAAUAUACACCCAAAUCAACACAGAAGAAAUGUGACCUGAAUUGAAUAGGGCACAUUGCCAGUGUACAAAUAAGAAUGAAUUUGAAACGUCCAGCAUCCCUCUACAUGCGUCUCCAUCCUUGUUAGACAUUACAGGAUUUCUCUACAGCUGAAACUUCACCAGGUAUUAAUUUUAGGGGUGAAUUUUAGGGCUGCAUGGGGUUGCCAAUAAUUAUGAAGUUGACUGUAGUCUUACCUUUUUAUAGGAAUUUUAAUGAGAGGUUUUGUUUUAUAGCCAUCCGUUAUUAUUAUUAUUAUUAUUAUUAUUAUUUAAAUCUCUAUUUUAGUGCUAAUUUCUAUUGCCUUGAUUUGGAGGUCGCAUUAGACCAUUAGGAUUGAACAUUUUUAGUGUCAAAUUUGAUUCUCGGUUUUGGGGUUUUGCUGGUUUCUGAUCAAAGUCUCAGCUUUAAUACUGUCUCAAAAUUAUUGUGAAAUUCAGGCAAAUACAAAUAAUCUGAUUGGAGGAUAGGAUGAGGUUCUCACUUUUGGAUGGCACUGUUGCCUUAUGUCUGAAUAAAUGUCUUAAUUUAUUUGAAUGUUGUCUAAAAAAUGUAAAGCACAGUCUUGAUAGUCAGCACUGAAAUGGGCAUGCGUCUGUGUCUCCAUGUUUAGAACAGAUCAAUACCAUGGGUAUCUCUUGGUGGAGCAGGUCACAAAUAUAUUUAAUGCAAUAUUACAAUGGAUUAUGGAAAGCCAGGUCUUAUACCACAGUCCGCAAGGUUAGAAUUGAGAAGUAUAAUUAUGCUGUGCCUAUUGUACAUCUCUCAAUGGUGUGUGUGUGUGUGUAUGUGUCUGUGUGUCUGUGGGCAUUUUGAAUCAUAUUUAUUUCGUUUACCACUGUGGCUACAUAGCAACACUUUUUUUUUUUUUUUAAAUUUAUUAUUUUAUUUUUACUUUUUUUAAUAUAAAUGUGCUGUACUACAUUACCAUUUAUCUUAAAUUUUAUGCUAUGUUUACAAACACAUGUCUCACUAAUAUAUAGCAUGAUACUGAUUUUUUUAUUUAUUAAUUUUUUUUCUGUGACAUCACAUUAUCGUUUAGAAUUAGUGGGUUUAUUCCGUGUUCAACCCUUCAUUUGAUUGAGUUUGCUGCUGCAUGAAUUGCCCUAAAAUUCUUUACUUCUUCGGACUGUGUUCAGAUGCACAGCGUAGUUUUGGUGUGUUUUUAAUGUCAUGACAACACUGGGAAUAUGCCAUGUUAUGGAGUAAAAAAAAAAAAAAAAAAAAAAAAGGUGUGCAUCAGGGCUGGGACCCAGCAAAAAGUCACAGGAGUGAGCAAUCAGAUAGUGGCCUUUUUUUUUUUUUUUUUGAGCCCUGACCUAUCUGACCUUUCAUUAACAUGGAGGUGUAUUGUGUGCUCAUGUUUAUUCCUCCAUCUUCAGUAAUUGCUACAUGCUGGUCACUCUUAUGGAAGUAUUUUCCAGACUAUUUUCAAAACAAAUUUGUAUUUUCUCUUUGUGUAUGCAUAAAUUAUGACUUUCAAAUACAAACACACCCCAUAGUAUGCCCCCCCCCAAACACUGAUUGACUGGUUUCUGCGCAAGGCAUUGUAAAUGCAAACGCUAAGGGAAUUGUGAUUCCAUUUGUAUUUUUGGCUGGCUCCAUACACAAUGCUAUAAAUAGCUACUGCUAUAUCGAUAUGAUGGGGUUGUGACUCGUAAGAUAUGCAAAAUGCAAUUGCAAAUAAACUUUGCUUUUUCAUUUGAAAUUUGGCUGACAUUGUAUGUUCCUGUAAACUGUAAUACGUGAUUUGCAUUUUCCUUUGAAUUAUGCUAUAAUUCAUGCGUCCGCAAAUAGAAAACGCAACUGCCAAUACAAUUUGCAAUUAGUUUUUAAAACAGUCUGGAAAAUAGUCUGGUUUUUAAUUUACAAAUUUUGUUUAUAUUUUGUAAAACAGAGCCAACUAGGUUCAUGAGAUUAUCAUGAGGAGGUAUAAACAAAAAUAGCCCCAUGCACACCUCUAGAUUAAAACGAACCACAAUGUGGUUUAGUCAGAGCUGUUGCUAAUUUGAUGCGGCACUGUUUAACAUCAUGGCAUGUCUCUAUAAUAUUUGUACAUUUCCAUCCAUAUUCUCAUUAUAUUGAGUAAAAUAAAUGAAGUAUUUAGUCAAUGGCAAACAGUUAGUCUGCUUAAAUUUACUCAAAGUGCUCAUAUAAACUUAUAGAUGUGUACCUGUACCCUAGAAAGCAAUAAGACCUGCUCAAAUCUUCACUGUGCUAUAGCAUAUAUACAAAUACUCAAAACUUCUACACAUGCUGAUAUUCUUAUUAGGAGGGUUAGCCAUGUGCAGGAAGUGCUGCCUGUGCUGUUUGGUUUACGUCUACUGCUGCUAUCAGUAGAAACCGCGUACUGGAAAUGUACACUUCUCUCUGCACUAUUGUGAGCUCCUAAUUCAGGUCUAAGAUGUAAUCACACUUGGGCUCUUUUAUUGACUCUCCUUGUAUCGAUUCUUUUCAUGUGGUGUGAAUCAAAUGGUUUAUUUACCGUUAUUUUGUGACUGUAGACUACACAGUAUGUAAUAUGUGAAUUGUUAUUUCUUAGGGUGUUUUUUUUUGUUGUUGUUUUUUUAAUAAAUAGUGUUUUUUUGAAAUCUGG